CUGAGCAUACCAGGAGAUCAUUGUACAUAGUAAUAGCAAUACUGUAAUGAUGACUGACUGUGGAAGACCUGGCUACUCUGAUCAAGGAAAUGAUCCAAGACUACACAUCUACUCAUAAUGAAAUAGAAUGUUAUUUUAAGAUGUGAAAGGGCAUGUAAAAGGGAAGGAAGAAAGGAAAACCUGAAAUGAAUUGUUCUUAUGGUCUGUGCUUGGCAAUAUAACCUUCUGAGCAAGAAUUACACAGGAUGAGAAGGCAUUGAAAGAACAAUAAUAUUCCAUAAUAUUCAUAUACCA